UACAGAGGGUGCGAGCGUUGUCCGGAAUCACUGGGCGUAAAGGGCGCGUAGGUGGCGGCCCAAGUCCAUGGUGAAAGCUCGAUGCUCAACAUCGAGUCGGCCACGGAUACUGGGUUGCUCGAGCACUGUAGGGGCAGACGGAAUUCCGGGUGUAGCGGUGGAAUGCGUAGAGAUCCGGAGGAAGACCGGUGGCGAAGGCGGUCUGCUGGGCAGUUUCUGACACUGAUGCGCGACAGCGUGGGGAGCAAACAG
rnacentral:rRNA from 1 species